AAAACUUACCAGGUCAAGACAUGGGCGUGAUUGACAGGCUAAUGACUUUUCUCGAUUCCAUGGAUGGUGGUGCAUGGUCGCACUUAGUUGGUGCAGUGAUUUGUCAGGUUUAUUCCGGUAACGAACGAGACCUCGGCCUUGUAAAUAGCUAUGCUGCUUACAGGGACAUUGGCGGCUACGCCAAGGAAGCUCGAGGCAAUUGCAGAUCUGGAAUGCCCUUAGAUGUCCUGGGUCGCACGCGUGCUACAAUGACGCCACGAACGAGCUUGCGUGAUGAAAGUUACGCAUAAUCAGCAGUCGGCGUCUUAAGGGAUAGUCUCUUGUAACUGUGGGACUCCAACUAGGAAUGUCUCGUAAGCACAAGUCAACAUCUUGUGUUGAUUACGUCCCUGCUCUUUGUACACACCGCCCGUCGCUCCUACCGAUCGAGUGUUUAGGUGAAUUUGAUGGACGUAAGGAAGUCAAAUAAACCUGAGCACUAGAGAAGAGAAGUCUACAUC
rnacentral:rRNA from 1 species